AUAACAUUGUCAGCAGCUGAGCUUCUUCUGCUCUCAGUGUGUUGAAGUGUUGUUUCUCUCUCUCUGCUGGAGUUUGUGUUCACUCGAGUGGAAUAGAGGUUUUUGUACGAGUGUUUCAUUAGAUUGUAUCACUGUGGUACACAUUCGGUGGAGGAACUAAACUGGUGCUCGCUGGUCCCACAGUGAAGCCCUCAGUGUCUCUGCUGCCGCCCUCUUCUCUGCAGAUCUCUGGAGACUCAGCCGCACUGCUCUGCCUGCUCAGCUCUUACUCUCCACAGGGGGCGCUGGUGAGCUGGACACUGGGACGGCUCAGAGGUCACCGAGGGGGUUGUGACCAGCGCAGAGAGCGAGCAGGACGGCCGCUACAGCCGCAGUAGUGUCCCUGACCCUCAGCAAAGCACGCUGGGAAGAGGGAGAGCUGUACGUCUGCAGAGUAACCACAUGAUGGAGCUCCUCAUGAGGCCUCGUUCCACAAGAGUCGCUGUUAGUUGCUCGCACUGCUGAUGUUUCUCCAGUGAGCGCUGCUCUCUCCUGAAGAUGAGUGUAUCUGAGUGUCCUGUGUCAGCAGGAUUCACAUGAGUCUAGUGCUGCAGCUGUAGUCAUUUACAACUCAAUACUGAAAGAGAGCUCUAGUGUCAAAGCACUGGCUGAUCUUUCAAUCUGCUGUGUUUGCUGCAACAUUCAAUAAAAGCUUCUCAACAAAC